AGAGCUAUUGCUGUGGGGGCCUGUGGUGUUCCCAGUUAUCAAGUCAAUGACGGUGCUGUCAUCUGGGGUCAAGAUCGCCUAAAUACUGUUGCAGAUUUACUUUGUGGAUGGAAAGAUCCAGUGCAAAAUUCCAUCAGCAAACUGUAGUAAGAGAAAUCAUUACGUUGGCUUUUGUAAAUACCGGAGACAUUGUAAUUUUAUGAUAACUAUAUGUUUUACAUUUCAUAAAGGACAAUAAAAGUAUAUCUAUACUUGACCAAAUUUAACUCUCCUUGGAUCACUAACGUUCGUAGCAUUCCUCCUUGGAUGACGUAAUACCCUUAUAUCUUUCGAAGAGAGGCUAAGUGCAUUAAAACGAGACAUAUUGUCCCACUAUUUCCCCAUGCAGUAGUACAACCUUGGUUUUCAGCUAUAUGACUACAUCACUAUGACUACAUGAUUAUGACUACAUGAUUAUGGCUGUAUGACUAUAUAGAAUAGUUUUUAUAGAAUAGUUUAUGUGGUAAAUCACAAUUUAUAAUACUUCUCGGCUUAAAUAAGCUGCAGCCUAAAUGAGUCACGAACAACGGAGACAAUGUAAUUUUAUAAUAACUAUUGUACAUUUCAUAAAGGACAAUAAAAGUAUAUCUAUACUUGACCAAAUUUAACUCUCCUUGAAUCACUAACGUUCGUAGCAUUCCUCCUUGGAUGACGUAAUACCUAUAGAGGCGCGGUUAAGUGCAUUAAAACGAGACAUAUUGUCCCACUAUUUCCCCAUGCAGUAGAACAUUGGUUUUCGGCUAUAUGACUACAUCACUAUGACUACAUGAUUAUGGCUACAUGAUUAUGGCUGUAUGACUAUAUAGAAUAGUUUUUAUAGAAUAGUUUAUUUGGUUAGUCACAAUUGUUAUGGGAAAUAGUUAUAAUACUUCUCGGCUUAGAUAAGCUGCAGCCUAAAUGAGUCACGAACAGCUCGUAUAAACAGUCAAUUUUCAUUAAGAAAUACCUUUUACUCGAAAUAAAACCGCGAGAUCAAUUUAUUCGUAAUAAGCUCAGAGGUAUAAAAGCUAGUCCAAAAUAAUCUGUUACUUAAAAAUUAUCAACUGCGGGUUCUCAGCAAGUUUUAAUUUUUAAAGCCACCCGCCAUCCAAUCUGAUGCAUGCAUCUAGUAACUUGCCG